rnacentral:rRNA from 1 species
UUUCGGGCUUCGACCGGCGUACGGGUGCGUAACGCGUAUACAAUCUGCCUUUCACAUAGGGAUAGCCCGAAGAAAUUUGGAUUAAUACCUAAUGGCAUAUAGGGGUGGCAUCACCUUUAUAUUAAAGCUGAGGCGGUGAAAGAUGAGUAUGCGUUCUAUUAGCUAGUUGGAGAGGUAACGGCUCCCCAAGGCUACGAUAGAUAGGGGUUCUGAGAGGGAUAUCCCCCACACUGGUACUGAGAUACGGACCAGACUCCUACGGGAGGCAGCAGUGAGGAGUAUUGGACAAUGGUCGGAAGACUGAUCCAGCCAUGCCGCGUGCAGGAAGACGGCCUUAUGGGUUGUAAACUGCUUUUGCAGGGGAAGAAUAAGGAGUACGUGUACUUUGAUGACGGUACUCUGCGAAUAAGCAUCGGCUAACUCCGUGCCAGCAGCCGCGGUAAUACGGAGGAUGCGAGCGUUAUCCGGAAUCAUUGGGUUUAAAGGGUUCCGUAGGCGGGCUAAUAAGUCAGAGGUGAAAGCGCUCAGCUCAACUGAGCAACUGCCUUUGAAACUGUUAGUCUUGAAUGGUUGUGAAGUAGUUGGAAUGUGUAGUGUAGCGGUGAAAUGCUUAGAUAUUACACAGAACACCGAUAGCGAAGGCAUAUUACUAACAAUUAAUUGACGCUGAUGGACGAAAGCGUGGGGAGCGAACAGGAUUAGAUACCCUGGUAGUCCACGCUGUAAACGAUGGAUACUAGCUGUUUGGUUGUAAGACUGAGUGGCUAAGCGAAAGUGAUAAGUAUCCCACCUGGGGAGUACGCACGCAAGUGUGAAACUCAAAGGAAUUGACGGGGGCCCGCACAAGCGGUGGAGCAUGUGGUUUAAUUCGAUGAUACGCGAGGAACCUUACCAAGGUUUAAAUGGAGACUGACGUACUUAGAGAUAGGUAUUUCUUCGGACAGUUUUCAAGGUGCUGCAUGGUUGUCGUCAGCUCGUGCCGUGAGGUGUCAGGUUAAGUCCUAUAACGAGCGCAACCCCUGCCAUUAGUUGCUAGCGAGUCGAGUCGAGCACUCUAGUGGGACUGCCGGUGCAAA